AGAGAAAUUCUGGCAUUAAGUGUAACCGAAACCCUGAUUAAGCCCUUGGAAAAAUUCAGAAAAGAGCAACUUGGAGCUGUAAAGCUGAGCCCGUUUCCCACGUUGGGGCAGCACCUGUAGCCGACCCACCAGGCCGGCCAGGACCUAGACCUGCUUUGCUGUUGUCCCUGUCCCUGGGCAAACAAGGAUGAAUGGCAAAGACACACGGAGUCAGUUUAAUGUGCGGGCAGCCAGGGAGCCCUUGGCUCCUAGGAGCCCCUCAUCUUGCCUUAACUCACGCAAACCUGGGUCCAAGCAGUCAAAGUGAUGAGAUGCACCUGCUUUCCAGCAUCCGCUAGUGCACUCUGGUGAACAGCUGAACCUUGGCUGAACUAGCUUUUCCGGAGAACCUGGGUACCUGCUAGCCCUGAGUGCGGCCCUUCUCCUUUGUGCUCACGGAGGAGGCCGAUCAGGCCUCAUUCUCCUCUGGUCCCCAGCACCCCGCCCUGGGGAGCUUGUCACCAUAUUUGCUGUGGAUCCCUUUAUUUCCCUUUACCAUUUUAUUUCACAGCCUCCCAUGAAGCUUUCUGCACUGUUGGCCUUUGGUGCUGAUGGCGCCACAGGAACUUAGGACGGGAGCCCAACAACGCGGAAGCCCAGCACGUUGAGAUCUCCCAGAAAUACCAGAGCGUGGCUUGACUGGAGAAUUUAGAUUUGCUCUUUGGAACAUCUGCCCAGUUAGUACCACGUGGGUUUAGACAAGCAGCAUGGAAGAGUCAAGUAGAUACAACUACAUUUUCUAUAUAUAUAUUUAUAUAAUUUUUUUCUUUUCUGUGUGUGUUAUUGGGCAAUGAACCCAGGCCCUCACAAAUGCCAGGCAAGUGCUCUUCCACUGAGCUACACUGUCAGCCCUUUCUAAAAUUUGAUUUUUUUUUUUUUGUCACUGGGGAUGGACUUCAGGUCCUUGCGCUUGUGAGGCAGGCGGUGGAACCACUGAGCUUAAAUCCCUGGCCUAUUUUUAAAAUUUGAUUUUGAGGGAGCGUUUUACAAAGUUACGCAAGCUGACCUUGAACUUGCAAUUCUCCUGCCUCAGCCUCUUGAGUAGCUGAGAUUACAGGAGUGCACUUGCAUGCUGGGAUAACUAAACAUGCUGACAGUAGUUUUACUCAACAGGAUAAAAGUUUAAACAGAAGCGUUGAAAAAUGCUUAUUUCUGAUAUAUGAUUUUAUCAUUUCACCUCAACUCUUUUAUCAGAUGCUCACCUCUGAUUCUCUUCAUCAUUCUGUCCAACACUUUGUCUGAUGAAUACAUUUUUAAUCAAACCUGGCUUGCCAAGAUUCUGUAAAUGACUGUAAAAUAUGAGUAAAAAACAAAUGUGGGUGAAUAACUGUCUCAAAUUACGUUUGAUAAGCAAACACUGCUUGGAUUUAAUUGUUUAUUUUUAGUAAUAAAACACAUUAUACCUAUCUUGUGUGGCAUAGUGAGAGAGGCCCCGGGCGAUAACAGAGAAUUAAAGCCCUGGCUGUCCUGCAGGGUGGUAGCAGGUCAGUGGGAGACUGUGAGAUAAAGUAGUAAAAAUGCGUCCUUCAAGUGGCCAUGGGGCUGUCAUGCCCCUGCCACUCAGCUCCAGAACACCAGACAAGCUUCAGGAAGGCUGGCUGCUGCUUCCUGGUUUGAAUCCAUUCCCAGUGGCUCUAUGAGCUGUGUGAUUUGGGACAAGUUACUGAAGAGCUCUAAAUUUCUAUUUUCUGAUCUGCACAAUGAGGCCAAUUGCAUUGGCUUUGGAGGUUAUUUUGAAAAUGGAAUGAA